rnacentral:lncRNA from 1 species
CAGAUAGAUGGCGCUUCAUCGUGAGUGAGACUGUGAGUGAGAGAUAGAGGAGGCCGGGCAGAUAGAUGGCGCUUCAUCGUGAGUGAGACUGUGAGUGAGAGAUAGAGGAGGCCGGGCAGAUAGAUGGCGCUUCAUCGUGAGUGAGAUCGUGAGUGAGAGAUAGAGGAGGCCGGGUAGAUAGAUGGCGCUUCAUCGUGAGUGAGAUCGUGAGUGAGAGAUAGAGGAGGCCGGGCAGAUAGAUGGCG